rnacentral:rRNA from 1 species
AGAGUUUGAUCAUGGCUCAGAUUGAACGCUGGCGGAAUGCUUUACACAUGCAAGUCGAACGGUAGAGGGGGCAACCCCUCGAGAGUGGCGAACGGGUGAGUAAUAUAUCGGAACGUGCCCAGUCGUGGGGGAUAACGUAGCGAAAGUUACGCUAAUACCGCAUACGAUCUAUGGAUGAAAGCGGGGGAUCGCAAGACCUCGCGCGAUUGGAGCGGCCGAUAUCAGAUUAGGUAGUUGGUGGGGUAAAGGCUCACCAAGCCAACGAUCUGUAGCCGGUCUGAGAGGACGACCAGCCACACUGGAACUGAGACACGGUCCAGACUCCUACGGGAGGCAGCAGUGGGGAAUUUUGGACAAUGGACGCAAGUCUGAUCCAGCCAUUCCGCGUGCAGGAUGAAGGCCCUCGGGUUGUAAACUGCUUUUGUACGGAACGAAAAGGUUUCUAUUAAUACUAGGAGCUCAUGACGGUACCGUAAGAAUAAGCACCGGCUAACUACGUGCCAGCAGCCGCGGUAAUACGUAGGGUGCAAGCGUUAAUCGGAAUUACUGGGCGUAAAGCGUGCGCAGGCGGUUAUGUAAGACAGAGGUGAAAUCCCCGGGCUCAACCUGGGAACUGCCUUUGUGACUGCAUAGCUAGAGUACGGUAGAGGGGGAUGGAAUUCCGCGUGUAGCAGUGAAAUGCGUAGAUAUGCGGAGGAACACCGAUGGCGAAGGCAAUCCCCUGGACCUGUACUGACGCUCAUGCACGAAAGCGUGGGGAGCAAACAGGAUUAGAUACCCUGGUAGUCCACGCCCUAAACGAUGUCAACUGGUUGUUGGGUCUUCACUGACUCGGUAACGAAGCUAACG